rnacentral:rRNA from 1 species
CCUACGGGAUGCACCAGUAGGGAAUCUUCCACAAUGGGCGCAAGCCUGAUGGAGCAACGCCGCGUGUGUGAUGAAGGGUUUCGGCUCGUAAAACACUGUUAUAAGAGAAGAAUGGCACUGAGAGUAACUGUUCAGUGUGUGACGGUAUCUUACCAGAAAGGAACGGCUAAAUACGUGCCAGCAGCCGCGGUAAUACGUAUGUUCCAAGCGUUAUCCGGAUUUAUUGGGCGUAAAGCGAGCGCAGACGGUUAUUUAAGUCUGAAGUGAAAGCCCUCAGCUCAACUGAGGAAUUGCUUUGGAAACUGGAUGACUUGAGUGCAGUAGAGGAAAGUGGAACUCCAUGUGUAGCGGUGAAAUGCGUAGAUAUAUGGAAGAACACCAGUGGCGAAGGCGGCUUUCUGGACUGUAACUGACGUUGAGGCUCGAAAGUGUGGGUAGCAAACAGGAUUAGAUACCCUCGUAGUC